UACGUAGGGGGCAAGCGUUGUCCGGAAUUAUUGGGCGUAAAGAGCGUGUAGGCGGUCCGGUAAGUCAGCUGUGAAAGUCAAGGGCUCAACCCUUGAAUGCCGGUUGAUACUGUCGGGCUAGAGUCCGGAAGAGGCGAGUGGAAUUCCCGGUGUAGCGGUGAAAUGCGCAGAUAUCGGGAGGAACCCCAAUGGCGAAGGCAGCUCGCUGGGACGGUACUGACGCUGAGACGCGAAAGCGUGGGGAGCAAACAGG
rnacentral:rRNA from 1 species